rnacentral:rRNA from 1 species
GACGAACGCUGGCGGCGUGCUUAACACAUGCAAGUCGAACGAUGAAGCCGGAGCUUGCUCUGGUGAAUUAGUGGCGAACGGGUGAGUAACACGUGAGUAACCUGCCCUUGACUCUGGGAUAACUGCGGGAAACUGUAGCUAAUACCGGAUACGACCCUCGGAGGCAUCUCCUGGGGGUGGAAAGAAUUUCGGUCAAGGAUGGACUCGCGGCCUAUCAGCUAGUUGGUGAGGUAAAGGCUCACCAAGGCGACGACGGGUAGCCGGCCUGAGAGGGUGACCGGCCACACUGGGACUGAGACACGGCCCAGACUCCUACGGGAGGCGGCAGUGGGGAAUAUUGCACAAUGGGCGCAAGCCUGAUGCAGCAACGCCGCGUGAGGGAUGACGGCCUUCGGGUUGUGAACCUCUUUUAGCAGGGAAGAAGCGAAAGUGACGGUACCUGCAGAAAAAGCACCGGCUAACUACGUGCCAGCCGCCGCAGUAA